GGCUAUGACCGGAGGAAACGACGUAGUCUGUUUAUUUCAAGUAGGCGUGUUUAAGUGUCAGCGGCGGCGGUUCAGUGUCGAAGUUAGGAGACUACUGCAGGUUAUGGCUCUUCUUACUUCCCCAUGAUCCUGUUUUCCACAGCAGCUCUGUUUAUGGAUCAAAUUUCAUAUUAUUAUUUUCAAAAUUUCAGCAAGGUUAAAGAAGAAGGUGAUUGCAAUUUGGGGAAUGGGAUCAUGUCUGGGCCAUCAGUUCAGAUACAAUCAGUUCUCUGAAAGGCAUUUCUCUCAAUUUUUUCUUCAUUCUGCAUUUGAUGCUGCAUUGCUCUUUUAUGACUUACUGCAAGUAUCUUGAUUAUGUGCUUAUGGGGCUUUCAAAUGUUAGUCACAAACAGUAUGCUUCUGAACUAGUUUGUCCUUGCCAUAUGUACCAUAUAGUAUCUCAAAAUUUAAAUUCUUCUUCUAGUGCUUAUUUCAGCACCUAUUCUUCAAGCCUUCAAUUUGAGCUUAGGGAAAAUGCAGUUGAUGCUUAGACCAUAGGCAUUGCAAGAUGCAGUUGUUUGAUACUGCUUUGUCAACUAUACUUUCAUGCUACUACCAAAGACACGUUCAUCUCAGUGCUAAUCCUGUGGUUUGAUGAUUGGCAAUGGUCAUCAAUUGUUGCUGCAGCUUUCUUAAUUCCUUACUAUGCUUUAAUUAUUUAGCAGAUUCUUGAUUAAGCUCUGAAACUUCAUUCUUCAAGGUGUGUUGUAUCUUGCCAAGUUGUAGUAGUAGUAAAAAAAAAAAGAGUGUUGAGAGUCCAGAAGCAAAAGGUGAAAACAUUACUACUCCACAACAUAAAGGAAGACAAGGAUCAUCCUGUUGAGUUCAAGAGAUUGAUGAUGUGUGUGGCCUGAUUGAGAAGAAUGGUCAUAUUAUUGUCCGAGAACCAUGGCUUGCCCUCUAGAGUAUCUUUCCUAGGCCAGAAGAAGUAAGGGCUCUGCUCCAAUCCCAGACCGAUGUUCUUCUCCAUCCACCACAGUCUUCACAGCUAACUGUUAAAUUACCACAGUUCAUCCACAGGCUAGGAUUUCAGGUGAGAGAAGAGCGCGCGAAAAUGAGGCUUUUAACGGCGCGGAUGAGUUGUUCUUCAAAACAGAGGAAGGGCGGCUUGUUAUAGUGAGUGCCCUUUAUGCUUGGUUGAAUUGACAUGGUUAACUUAACAUCUUUUGUUGCUCUGCUAAAUCGAGUGUGUUUGGAUAAGUAGGUACAAAUCUUGGAAGAUAUAGAGAGGACUAUUGGGCUUCUACGAUUUACGCCCACAACACUAUAAAUAAUUGGGCUUUGGCCUUUCUUUCUCUUAUUUAAUUUAUAUGUUUUUC